CUGGACAUGAUGUGACUGGGCACUACAAGGUGACCAUACUGGUGAAGGUUUGGAAAAGAUCUCCCUGUGAGAUGGGGCACAAAACAAGAUGCCAAGGAGAAGACAGUAUAUCCAUCUUUAUUUUCUCAACACACUGAAUCUAGUUUAUCCCUGGUGUUCCUUCCAGCUAGACACCACUAAAUUUAAUGAGAGCCUGCACUGGCACCUGACAUCCUUGUUAUGUUGCCUGGGAAGGAAGAUAGAAAUGUCAUGGUGAGGUUACCAG
rnacentral:lncRNA from 1 species